rnacentral:rRNA from 1 species
CGACGCCGCGUGGGUGAAGAAGGCUUUCGGGUCGUAAAGCCCUGUUGGUAGGGAUGAGCAAGGACAGUACCUACCGAGGAAGCCCCGGCUAACUACGUGC